rnacentral:rRNA from 1 species
AACGGCUGGCGGCGUGCCUAACACAUGCAAGUCGUACGAGAAAGUCGGCUUCGGCUGAUGAGUAAAGUGGCGCACGGGUGAGUAACGCGUGGAUAAUCUGCCUUUUAGUUGGGAAUAACGUACCGAAAGGUGCGCUAAUACCGGAUAAUACUGAGCAACUACUGUUGCUUAGUCAAAGAAGGCCUCUGUUACAAGCUUUUGCUGAAAGAUGAGUCCGCGUACCAUUAGCUAGUUGGUAGGGUAAUGGCCUACCAAGGCUACGAUGGUUAGCUGGUCUGAGAGGAUGAUCAGCCACACUGGAACUGAGACACGGUCCAGACUCCUACGGGAGGCAGCAGUGAGGAAUAUUGCGCAAUGGGGGCAACCCUGACGCAGCAACGCCGCGUGAGUGAGGAAGGUUUUCGGACCGUAAAGCUCUGUCGAGUGGGAAGAAAUGUAUCGUGGCUAAUAUCCAUGAUACUUGACGGUACCGCUAAAGGAAGCACCGGCUAACUCCGUG